AGUCGAACGGAGUGCUACGGCACUUAGUGGCGGACGGGUGAGUAACGCGUGAGAAUCUGCCUUCAGGAGGGGGAUAACAGUUGGAAACGACUGCUAAUACCGCAUAUGCCUUAGGGUGAAAGUAGAUAUAGCCUGAAGAUGAGCUCGCGUCAGAUUAGGUAGUUGGAGUGGUAAGAGCACCCCAAGCCGACGAUCUGUAGCUGGUCUGAGAGGAUGACCAGCCACACUGGAACUGA
rnacentral:rRNA from 1 species